UAAUACCGGAUAGAUCAAAGAUACUGGAAUGUUCUUUGGUCCAAAACUCCGGUGCCCAAGGAUGGGUCUGCGGCCUAUCAGGUUGUAGUGGGUGUAACGUACCUACUAGCCUACGACGAGUACGGGUUGUGAGAGCAAGAGCCCGGAGAUGGAUUCUGAGACAUGAAUCCAGGCCCUACGGGGUGCAGCAGGCGCGAAAACUUUACACUGCAGGAAACUGCGAUAAGGGGACCCCGAGUGCCAGCAUCUAAUGCUGGCUGUCCAGCUGUGUAAAUAGCAGUUGUUAGCAAGGGCCGGGCAAGACCGGUGCCAGCCGCCGCGGUAACACCGGCGGCCCGAGUGGUAACCGAUUUUAUUGGGUUUAAAGGGUCCGUAGCCGGCCUGUUAAGUCUCUUGGGAAAUCUGGCGGCUCAAUCGUCAGGCGUUC
rnacentral:rRNA from 1 species